GGAGAUGUUUGUUUGUUUGUUGGUUCUCAGAGGCUGAGAAUCAGAGUUUUUGUCUGUUUCUCUUCUGAACUCUUUUCUUUCCUCUUUUUUUUCUUCUUAAUCCUCAACAUGUUUUUUUUUCUUUUCUGACUCUCACAAAAAAACCCCUCAGACCCCCCCAGACUCUGCAGUCUUCACUUCCUCAGAGCCACAGCGCCCUCCACAGGAUCAUUACAGAAACAGCACUGACGUGUGUCUGAGAGGAUGAGUUUGAGAUUAAUGAGACGCUCCGAUCUCUGGAAAUAUGAGGAGGGGAGGACGGGGACCGACAGGAGGACUGUGGAGGACAGGACCUGGAUCUGCACAUAUGGGUUCAAGAAUUGAUGACAUGUUAAGGUCUGAUUGGCUGAGAAUUGGUUUCACUCAGCCAAAGAAAUGAUAAAGAAAUGAUCAUAAAUGUUCUUCCUUUAGCUGCGGCACCCCGCUGUAGUCUGUAAUGGACUGGCCUGAGGUCUCUCUACAAACAAGCGUCUGCUGGAAGAGAGUAGGUGAGUUGUGUUUAGUCUCUUUGCUAAAGAAAUGAGGCAAAGUUAAAAAGAUGUUUGGUGUCUAGUACUAUGUCUGUGACCCUAUAUGUCCUGUUGAUGAAGUUAGGUGCUGUUCUGAGCAUUAUUUGUGGCUAUAGAGUGGCGUUUUGGUUGAGGUUUGUUUACUGCUCCUCAGACCGCUGUGUUUGUUUGGUGUUUUUGGUAUUUUUGGUCUUGUUGGGUGUUUGGUAAAUUUUUGGUGUUUUUAGUGAUUUUGGUAUUCGUAGUUUUUAGGUGAUUUAGUGUUUUGGGGUAUUUGUGGUAUUUUUGGUAUUUUUUUGUAUUUUUGGUGUUUUGGGUAAUUUUUUGUGUGUUCUUUGUAUUUUUUUGGUGUUUUUGCUUUUUUGUGAUUUUGGUGUUUUGUUUUUUGGUGUGAUUUUGGUAUUUUUGGUGAUUUUUUUUUUUAUUUUUUUAUUUUUAUUUAUUUUCUAUUUUUUGUUGUUCUUGGUAUUAAACUGUUAUCCUACCUUGCAUCUGUCUUUUCUCGUCUCCCUCGUCUGUUUGUUAGUUUCUCGUCCCUCACCCCUCAUCUUCUGUUUUUCAUCACUUCAUAAAAAAUAAAUAAAAAAUGUCUCAAACCAGACUGAGGUUAUCGUCCGACACAUAAAAGAUUAAAUCUGAUAUAAUUAGAGAUUAAUUUUCUAAAGUUUUUUAAAUAAAUGAAGAUGUGAAACUGCAGAGAGGUCAGGUUUGGUUUCUUUAUAGAGAUCGGAGUUGAAAAACUGAUGAUAAUGACUGAAUGAUAAUCUGAGAGGUUAAUGUCUGUAAUUUAAAAUUAAAUCAUAAAUGAGUUUUCUAAUCUCACUCUCUAAUCUCACUCUCUAAUCUCCUCAUUUCAGAAAAUCCUCUUCGUUCGGUGUGUAUUUUUCUCCUCCGUCUGUCACAGUUUGGAUAAAAAGUGAUGAACACAUGAAUUCAUAAACAAAUGUCCACAAACUCACAGAGACGAGGAGGAUAAAUCCGAGGUUUCAUUCAGCUCCUCAUCUCGCCGCUCGCUCGCUCGCCUCGCUCUCUCUCCUCCUGAAUUCAUAAUCCGACCUGACGCCUCUGACAUCUCCUCCUCCACCUCCUCCUGCAUCUAUAAUUAAUAGUCAGUUGUCAGGGGUUACAGGAGCAGCAUCAGCGCUGCAGAAACAGGUAGAGGUCACGGGGUCAAGUUAUCACGGCGAGGAAAAACAAGCCCGAGUGGAUCUUCUGUCAGAGCGGCCGACAGACGGGAAAACCAGGAGAGACAGGAGUUCAGGGAGGAGACGGGAGGAGAGAAGGAGGGGAGAGGGGAGAGGAGAGAUGAGAGAGGAGGAGACAGGAGGAGGUCUGACAGAUCCGGGAGGAGAGAAGGAGGAGAGGAGAGGAGAGAGGAGAGGAGACAAGGGGAGGUCUGACAGAACCGGGAGGAGAGAGAAGGGGUGAUGAGAGAGGAGAGGAGAGAAGACAAGUGAAGGAGAGAGGAGACAAGGAGACAGGAGGAGGUCUGACAGAACCAGGAGGAGAGAGAGGAGGGGAGGAACGAAGGGGAGAGGAGACAAGGAGGAGAAACGAGGGGAGAGAAGAGAGAAGAGCGGACAAGGGGAGGAGAGGAGGAGAGGAGGUCUGACAGAACAAGGAGGAGAGAGAGGAGAGAAGGGGAGAGGAGAUAAGGGGAGGAGAGGAGAGGAGGAAAGGAGAGGAGACAGGAGAUCAGAGCGACCUGGAGGAGGAAGGAAGGCUGGAGGAAGGAAGGAAGGAGGAGAAGGAAAGGAAAGAAGAGAAAGGGAUGAUGGAAAAAGGAAGCUGGAGGAAGGAAGAAAGAAAAAGUGACAAAAAAAGAAGAAAAGAAAAACUGAGGGAAUAGAAAAGAAGAAAAAUGUAGCUGAGAGGAGAGAGAGUGAAAGAAGGAAAGAAGGAAAGAAGGAAAGAGAGGAGACAUCUACUUUUAGAAAGUCUGGAAUUAUUUCAAUCCUGAAAAGUGACUUUUUAAUUUUUUUUCUGGAAACAAAUUUUUUUAAAGUCUGAAUUUUUUUUAAAGAAAACUGUAAAAAUAUAAACUAAAGUGAACUAAAGUGAGGACGUCUGAGGACAAGAGUGAAGUUUAGUGUUAGAGAGAGAAAAGUUCAGGACUUUAGAGAGAGAAGAUAAAAACUAACUGUAAAGAAACUGUGAAGACCGGAGGGACAGUGAACGCCUCAUAGAUCACACACACACACACACACACACACACACACACACACAGUCAGGGUCCUGAGGGCCGAUAGAGGAGGACGAUCUUUCAUUAGGGAGGCAACACGCCUGAUUACACUGCUCACGGCCACACACACACACACACACACACACACACACACACACACACACAUUAACUCUCUAUACAUCAGAGGACAUUCACGCUCUCUCUCCAAUCACCACCAAUCAUUGAUCAACACAGCUGAGUGUGUGUGUGUGUGUAUCUAAAGGAGACAAUGGGGGGAGGAAGGACGGAUCUCUGCUGUGAAAUGAGACAAAUGAGUGUGUCGGGGGGGUCUUUGUGUGUGUGUGUGUGUGUAUCACUACAUCAAACAGUUUAUCUCUGACUUUAAUAUUCCAGUUUAAAAUCCUCAUGAGGUUCUUUGUUUGUAUCCAGAACCAAAGACCAGCCCUGGGACCAGAUCUACUGGACCUGGGACCAGAUCUACUGGACCUGGGACCGGAUCUACUGGACCCGGACUCUUUAACUUCCUGACCCUCUUCUCUAUCAUCGGUCUUUUUCUUUUUAAAGCUGCAGAAAAACUUUGAAUAAACUCUGAGUGGAUUAAAAAAAGAUUCAGUUCUGACCUCGGGCAGAUUAUAGACCGCCGCCAUCGCCGCCGCCGCUGCCGUCCGUGUUUCUAAAUCUUCGCUGAGCCGGGUCUCAGAGCUGCAGAGGGUCCAAAUGUGGAUCAUAAAGAUCAUGAGUUCAUGUCUCUGCGUGCAGACCGGGUCGUCCAGCUCAGUUUAAUCAUUUUAACCGACUGAGAAACUGAAGUUUGAAAAAGAGAAACGAGCAGAAAAGUCGUUAUUAGGAGGUCAAAGGUCAAUAAUGAGAGAGAAGAAAGGUAGAAGGAACGCCGUCUGAUUUCACCCCUAAAAUUAAACAAUAAUAAUAAUAUUACAACAAUGGACGACGCAGAGACCGUCUGACAACAUCCGUCCUCCUCUCAGAUCACCUGUCAGCUCACCUGGACAUAAAUAAAUUAAUUAAAAAUAAAAAACUUCAAAUCAGAAUAAAAGAGAGUUUUUAAUAAA